rnacentral:tRNA from 1 species
GCGGGUUUAGUCUAGCCUGGUAGGACUCGAGCUUCCCAAGCUCGUAGCCCGGGUUCAAAUCCCGGAGCCCGCA